rnacentral:rRNA from 1 species
CCUACGGGAGGCAGCAGUGGGGAAUAUUGCACAAUGGGGGAAACCCUGAUGCAGCAACGCCGCGUGAGUGAAGAAGUAUUUCGGUAUGUAAAGCUCUAUCAGCAGGGAAGAAGAUGACGGUACCUGAUCCAGAAGCCCCGGCUAACUACGUGCCAGCAGCCGCGGUAAUACGUAGGGGGCAAGCGUUAUCCGGAUUUACUGGGUGUAAAGGGAGCGCAGGCGGCAGCGCAAGUCGGGGGUGAAAGGCCGGGGCCCAACCCCGGAACGGCACUGGAAACUGGGCGGCUAGAGUACUGGAGGGGCAGGCGGAAUUCGCAGUGUAGCAGUGAAAUGCGUAGAUAUUAGGAGGAACACCAGUGGCGAAGGCGGGCUGCUGGACAGUAACUGACGUUGAGGCUCGAAAGCGUGGGGAGCGAACGGGAUUAGAUACCCCUGUAGUC